rnacentral:rRNA from 1 species
UACGUAGGAUCCAAGCGUUAUCCGGAAUUACUGGGCGUAAAGAGUUGCGUAGGUGGCAGAGUAAGCGGGUAGUGAAAUGAUACGGCUCAACCGUAUGUCCAUUACUUGAACUGCUCAGCUAGAGGACGAGAGAGGUUACUGGAAUUCCCAGUGUAGGAGUGAAAUCCGUAGAUAUUGGGAGGAACACCGAUGGCGUAGGCAGGUAACUGGCUCGUUCCUGACACUAAGGCACGAAAGCGUGGGGAGCAAACGGG